AUUGAACGCUGGCGGCAUGCUUUACACAUGCAAGUCGAACGGUAACAGGGAGCUUGCUCCGCUGACGAGUGGCGAACGGGUGAGUAAUGCAUCGGAACGUGCCGUGUAGUGGGGGAUAACGUAGCGAAAGUUACACUAAUACCGCAUACGCCCCGAGGGGGAAAGUGGGGGACCGCAAGGCCUCACGCUAUACGAGCGGCCGAUGUCGGAUUAGCUAGUUGGUAGGGUAAAGGCCUACCAAGGCGACGAUCCGUAGCGGGUCUGAGAGGAUGAUCCGCCACACUGGGACUGAGACACGGCCCAGACUCCUACGGGAGGCAGCAGUGGGGAAUUUUGGACAAUGGGCGCAAGCCUGAUCCAGCCAUGCCGCGUGAGUGAAGAAGGCCUUCGGGUUGUAAAGCUCUUUCGGCUGGGAGAAAUCGCACAGGCUAAUACUCUGUGUGGAUGACGGUACCAGCACAAGAAGCACCGGCUAACUACGUGCCAGCAG
rnacentral:rRNA from 1 species